rnacentral:lncRNA from 1 species
GGUGGUCUUACUAUCAUGAUACUCCUUGUCACUUUCUUCGUCUCCUCCGUCGUCGCUUCACCACCGUACGACCUCAUCACGCUACCACCACUACCAUCAGAUUCUAUUCAUAACAAAAAAAGAUUAUUAAAAAAAUCAAAAUUAGAUUGUAAUGAUGAGAUUCGAAUCUUCUUUACGGCGUGCAAAGAAAAAAAAACUAUUCCAAUUCUCUUAUUUACAGGAACCGUCCGACUCAAAUCAGUUGAUUUCAUCAUUUUAUUAUGGUUCAUGAUCGUCUUGGCAAUAAUUGGUUUGCGUACCCUUGCCGGAGUUUGACCGGAGACCGUAGCUCGGUUUCUUCCGUAGCUUCCCGAGGCCGUUUUCCGGAAGAGGACCAGCAACGGUGUCGUCCCAGAGAUGAUCAAGAAGACUCAUGGCGCACGUUAGAAAAAAAACGGCGUAAUUUGGGGAAAGAGACACCGCCC